rnacentral:rRNA from 1 species
GAGGGAAACUUCUGAUAAUACUGGAUAAGUUAGUAUAUCGCAUGAUAUGCAAAAUGAAAGCUACGGCACUAAAGGAGAGCUUUGCGUCCUAUUAGCUAGUUGGUAAGGUAAGAGCUUACCAAGGCGAUGAUAGGUAGCCGGCCUGAGAGGGUGGACGGCCACAAGGGGACUGAGAUACGGCCCUUACUCCUACGGGAGGCAGCAGAC